rnacentral:rRNA from 1 species
UACAGGGGGUGCAAACGUUGCUCGGAAUCAUUGGGCGUAAAGCGCACGUAGGCGGUCUGUUAUGUCGGAUGUGAAAGCCCUUGGCUUAACUGAGGAAGUGCAUCCGAAACUGGCAGGCUAGAGUACUAAAGAGGGUCGCGGAAUUCCCGGUGUAGAGGUGAAAUUCGUAGAUAUCUGGAGGAAUACCGGUGGCGAAGGCGGCAUCCUGGACCGGCAUUGACGCUGAGGAGCGAAAGCCAGGGGAGCAAACGGG